CAACUGCUAGUGACCUAGGAACUGCCUGAACUAUUAGACUUCUUCAGUAGUUGGAUCUGGGGUGGAACUGCUUUCCCACUGCAAAGGACAAUACUGAGGUGUAUCUACCAGUAAGAGUAUAAACAACAGAAGUUUGACUGUUUUUUUACCACUAGGACACCUGACUGUGAAAUGUAUAUUCUGGGCUAAAAUAAGACCCUGAUCCUGCAGUCUCCUACAUAAAAAACAAUGAUGCCUUUCUUUAUUGGGAAAAGAAAAUGCCCAUGAAGGAUGACUUGCACUUUCUCAGGAGGGUGAUGUCACUUGUGUGAACAGACUCCUGACAUUUCCAUAUCAUCACUGGAAGCUGAGGCCAUGUUUCUGCUGGGGGACCAUGUGAAGCUGAAAAUCCCUUUAAUACAUUCCAGCCUCUGUGUAAGGCCAAAAAUGAGAAAGUCCUCUCUCAUGUAAAAUGACGAACGUGAUCAACGGGCUUUCUUGGGAGUUGGAAGAGUCAACCAAAGUUAAAGCAAUUGCCUAGUAGCAUCUUACCUCUGGACAGGAAGCUGCACAGAUGAGCCUUUCCCAAGCUACUGCACUGCUGCUCUGUAUAUCAAGAGGAAGGUACUGUUGGUGUGAAUAAUAAGCUGCC